UGGGAGUGCUCGCAAGAGAGCCUGGACACAGGUGCUGCAUGGCUGUCGUCAGCUCGUGUCGUGAGGUGUUGGGUUAAGUCCCGCAACGAGCGCAACCCUUGCCAUUAGUUGCUACGAAAGGGCACUCUAAUGGGACUGCCGGUGACAAACCGGAGGAAGGUGGGGAUGACGUCAAGUCCUCAUGGCCCUUAUGGGUAGGGCUACACACGUCAUACAAUGGCCGGUACAGAGGGCUGCCAACCCGCGAGGGGGAGCCAAUCCCGUAAAAACCGGUCGUAGUCCGGAUUGCAGUCUGCAACUCGACUGCAUGAAGUCGGAAUCGCUAGUAAUCGCGGAUCAGCAUGUCGCGGUGAAUACGUUCCCGGGUCUUGUACACACCGCCCGUCACACCAUGGGAGCGGGUUCUGCCAGAAGUAGUUAGCCUAACCGCAAGGGGGGCGAUUACCACGGCAGGGUUCGUGACUGGGGUGAAGUCGUAACAAGGUAAGCGUAGCGAG
rnacentral:rRNA from 1 species